rfam:Desulfobacteraceae bacterium 4572_89 ex4572_89_scaffold_7068, whole genome shotgun sequence.
UAGGGCGACAGCAAACUUACCGAUUACCAGGCGGGUCAUGAAAAAACCAUCACCGGUCUCCUUCCGGCGUUGUCAGGGUGCAACGUUAUUUACGGAUUGG